GACGAACGCUGGCGGCGUGCUUAACACAUGCAAGUCGAACGGUGAAGCGCUUGCCUUUUUGGUGGGUGUGGAUGAGUGGCGAACGGGUGAGUAACACGUGAGUAACCUGCCCUCUUCUUCUGGAUAACCUCAUGAAAGUGGGGCUAAUACGGGGUAUUCCGGGUCUGUCGCAUGGCGGGUUUGGGAAAGAUUGCGCCUUUGGGUGUUUUCGGUGGGGGAUGGGCUCGCGGCCUAUCAGCUUGUUGGUGGGGUGAUGGCCUACCAAGGCGGUGACGGGUAGCCGGCCUGAGAGGGUGGACGGCCACACUGGGACUGAGACACGGCCCAGACUCCUGCGGGAGGCAGCAGUGGGGAAUAUUGCACAAUGGGCGCAAGCCUGAUGCAGCGACGCCGCGUGAGGGAUGGAGGCCUUCGGGUUGUGAACCUCUUUCGCCAGUGAAGCAGGCCUGCUCCUGUGUGGGUGGGUUGACGGUAGCUGGAUAAGAAGCGCCGGCUAACUACGCG
rnacentral:rRNA from 1 species